rnacentral:rRNA from 1 species
UACGUAGGGUGCAAGCGUUGUCCGGAAUUAUUGGGCGUAAAGAGCUCGUAGGCGGUUUGUCGCGUCUGCUGUGAAAAAUCCAGGGCUUAACCCUGGACCUGCAGUGGGUACGGGCAGACUAGAGUGCGGUAGGGGAGAUCGGAAUUCCUGGUGUAGCGGUGAAAUGCGCAGAUAUCAGGAGGAACACCGGUGGCGAAGGCGGAUCUCUGGGCCGUAACUGACGCUGAGGAGCGAAAGCAUGGGAGCGAACAGG